rnacentral:tRNA from 1 species
GGAUAUAGCUCAGUGGUAGAGGACUUGCCUAGCAUGCAUGAGGUCCAGGGUUCAACACCCAGCACCA